UGUAAAGGCUUGUUUAGAUUCCAAACAUGUUUUCCUUAAGUAAAUCCAUAUCUAAUAACAACAGUUAUAUUCUCUGUUUCUUGCUCUGUAGUGAAAGGUGGAGCACUGUUUUCUCUUAGACCUCAUAUCGGCUUUACAGGUGCUCAAAGAUGUCAUCAACAGAUAUUAAAGGUGAUACACCACAAAAUAAAAGAGGCCAAGGUGCAGUACUGCUUGGGGAAUACAAAAGCUUUAGGUUUGUGCUGUGGCACUAAGGGGAUGAACUGUGAAUUUACCAUUAAGGAAUGGAUGGAGUGUGUGGGGGUCAGUGGCUUUUGAGCUGAAAUCCUCCUCAGCUGUACACCGUGGGACUGUUUGGUGGAGCAGACGGUGUCCUUAAACGGUGGGCUUCUUGGAGCUUUGAAGAUAUGGGGCGGCGGGCAGACACUAUGCAUCACGGAGAGAUGAGCAUCGCAAACAUGCUUUGCAGGGAAGGCAACCACAGCAGACUGCCAAUGCUCUUCCAGCGCCAAUUACAGCGAUGGUUUAAUCGUAAAAGCUGCUUCGUUAAAAUGAGAUCAGAGCCAAAGCGUUUGUGAUUUGGAGGCUUGUACUAACUUUUGGUAGUUAUCAUUGGGGGCAGCUGAUGUGACAUCACCCUACAACUCUAUGCGACUCGUAUUUUUAAUGGCCCACAGGCCUCUACAUGAUGAUUUUGCUGCUAGAGUUAGCUCAAGA